rnacentral:tRNA from 1 species
AGAAAUAAAGCGGAUUAUAUCCAGCUUCCCAAGCUGAAUAUGGGGGUUCGAUUCCCCUCUUCCGCUCCA